rnacentral:rRNA from 1 species
CCUACGGGUGGCAGCAGUGGGGAAUAUUGGGCAAUGGGCGCAAGCCUGACCCAGCAACGCCGCGUGAAGGAAGAAGGCUUUCGGGUUGUAAACUUCUUUUCUCAGGGACGAAGCAAGUGACGGUACCUGAGGAAUAAGCCACGGCUAACUACGUGCCAGCAGCCGCGGUAAUACGUAGGUGGCAAGCGUUAUCCGGAUUUACUGGGUGUAAAGGGCGUGUAGGCGGGAAAGCAAGUCAGAUGUGAAAACCAUGGGCUCAACAUGUGGCCUGCAUUGGAAACUGUUUUUCUUGAGUACUGGAGAGGCAGACGGAAUUCCUAGUGUAGCGGUGAAAUGCGUAGAGAUUAGGAGGAACACCAGUGGCGAAGGCGGUCUGCUGGACAGCAACUGACGCUGAGGCGCGAAAGCGUGGGGAGCAAACAGGAUUAGAUACCCCUGUAGUC